AGGACGAACGCUGGCGGCGUGCCUAACACAUGCAAGUCGAACGAGGUUCAUCCGGUAGCAAUACCGGAGAAGACCAAGUGGCGAACGGGUGAGUAGCACGUGAGCAACCUGCCCCGAAGACCGGGACAACACCGGGAAACCGGUGCUAAUACCGGAUAUCCCCACCGAGUCGCAUGGCUUGGUGAGGAAAUGGAUUCCGCUUCGGGAGGGCUCGCGGCCUAUCAGCUUGUUGGUGAGGUAACGGCUCACCAAGGCUUCGACGGGUAGCUGGUCUGAGAGGACGAUCAGCCACACUGGGACUGAGACACGGCCCAGACUCCUACGGGAGGCAGCAGUGGGGAAUCUUGCACAAUGGGCGAAAGCCUGAUGCAGCAACGCCGCGUGAGGGACGAAGGCUUUCUGAGUUGUAAACCUCUUUCAGCAGGGACGAUUGUGACGGUACCUGCAGAAGAGCCCGGCAACUACGUGCCAGCAGCCGC
rnacentral:rRNA from 1 species